rnacentral:misc_RNA from 1 species
UUUCCGUAGGUGAACCUGCGGAAGGAUCAUUAUAGAGUAUAUGACCUUCGGGGUAGACCUCCAACCCCUUGUUUAUAUUACCUUUAUUGUUUUGGCAGUUCCGUCUUUGGACAACCGGCUUUGGUUGGUAUGCGCCCGCUACAGGCUCCAAAACCAUGCAUAUUAACUUUGUCUGAGUACUAUAUAAUUGUUAAAACUUUCAAUAACGCACCUUUUGGUUCGGGCAUCGAUGUAGUACGAAGCAGCUGGGUAGACCACUCGUCUGAACUCUUGUCGCCC